rnacentral:rRNA from 1 species
UACGUAGGGCGCAAGCGUUGUCCGGAAUCAUUGGGCGUAAAGAGCUCGUAGGCGGCCUGUUGCGUCCGCUGUGAAAUCCCGGGGCUUAACCCCGGGCGUGCAGUGGAUACGGGCUGGCUGGAGGCAGGCAGGGGAGAACGGAAUUCCCGGUGUAGCGGUGGAAUGCGCAGAUAUCGGGAGGAACACCGGUGGCGAAGGCGGUUCUCUGGGCCUGUACUGACGCUGAGGAGCGAAAGCAUGGGGAGCAAACAGG